CAAGAAGAGGCCCUAACCGGUCCUCUCAACCCUGCCCAUCGUACCUUUUCUUGUUGUUCCCUACGGCGGCGCCCGCGGGCCCGCCGGCGGGAAGACCAAACAAACCCUUUUGCAAACAAGCAUAUCAAAAUCUCUGAUCAAAACAUGAAUUGUCA
rnacentral:misc_RNA from 1 species